GAUGAACGCUUUCUACAGGCUUAACACAUGCAAGUCGAGGGGCAGCAUGGUCUUAGCUUGCUAAGGCCGAUGGCGACCGGCGCACGGGUGAGUAACACGUAUCCAACCUGCCGUCUACUCUUGGAUAGCCUUCUGAAAGGAAGAUUAAUACAAGAUGGCAUCAUGAGUCCGCAUGUUCACAUGAUUAAAGGUAUUCCGGUAGACGAUGGGGAUGCGUUCCAUUAGAUAGUAGGCGGGGUAACGGCCCACCUAGUCUUCGAUGGAUAGGGGUUCUGAGAGGAAGGUCCCCCCCAUUGGAACUGAGACACGGUCCAAACUCCUACGGGAGGCAGCAGUGAGGAAUAUUGGUCAAUGGGCGAGAGCCUGAACCAGCCAAGUAGCGUGAAGGAUGACUGCCCUAUGGGUUGUAAACUUCUUUUAUAAAGGAAUAAAGUCGGGUAUGGAUACCCGUUUGCAUGUACUUUAUGAAUAAGGAUCGGCUAACUCCGUGCCAGCAGCCGCGGUAAUACGGAGGAUCCGAGCGUUAUCCGGAUUUAUUGGGUUUAAAGGGAGCGUAGAUGGAUGUUUAAGUCAGUUGUGAAAGUUUGCGGCUCAACCGUAAAAUUGCAGUUGAUACUGGAUAUCUUUGAGUGCAGUUGAGGCAGGCGGAAUUCGUGGUGUAGCGGUGAAAUGCUUAGAUAUCACGAAGAACUCCGAUUGCGAAGGCAGCCUGCUAAGCUGCAACUGACAUUGAGGCUCGAAAGUGUGGGUAUCAAACAGGAUUAGAUACCCUGGUAGUCCACACGGUAAACGAUGAAUACUCGCUGUUUGCGAUAUACUGCAAGCGGCCAAGCGAAAGCGUUAAGUAUUCCACCUGGGGAGUACGCCGGCAACGGUGAAACUCAAAGGAAUUGACGGGGGCCCGCACAAGCGGAGGAACAUGUGGUUUAAUUCGAUGAUACGCGAGGAACCUUACCCGGGCUUAAAUUGCAGAUGAAUUACGGUGAAAGCCGUAAGCCGCAAGGCAUCUGUGAAGGUGCUGCAUGGUUGUCGUCAGCUCGUGCCGUGAGGUGUCGGCUUAAGUGCCAUAACGAGCGCAACCCUUGUUGUCAGUUACUAACAGGUUUUGCUGAGGACUCUAACAAGACUGCCAUCGUAAGAUGUGAGGAAGGUGGGGAUGACGUCAAAUCAGCACGGCCCUUACGUCCGGGGCUACACACGUGUUACAAUGGGGGGUACAGAGGGCCGCUACCACGCGAGUGGAUGCCAAUCCCCAAAACCUCUCUCAGUUCGGACUGGAGUCUGCAACCCGACUCCACGAAGCUGGAUUCGCUAGUAAUCGCGCAUCAGCCACGGCGCGGUGAAUACGUUCCCGGGCCUUGUACACACCGCCCGUCAAGCCAUGGGAGCCGGGGGUACCUGAAGUGCGUAACCGCGAGGAGCGCCCUAGGGUAAAACUGGUGACUGGGGCU
rnacentral:rRNA from 1 species